rnacentral:rRNA from 1 species
AUUGAACGCUGGCGGCAGGCCUAACACAUGCAAGUCGAACGGUAACAGGAAGAAGCUUGCUUCUUUGCUGACGAGUGGCGGACGGGUGAGUAAUGUCUGGGAAACUGCCUGAUGGAGGGGGAUAACUACUGGAAACGGUAGCUAAUACCGCAUAACGUCGCAAGACCAAAGAGGGGGACCUUCGGGCCUCUUGCCAUCGGAUGUGCCCAGAUGGGAUUAGCUAGUAGGUGGGGUAACGGCUCACCUAGGCGACGAUCCCUAGCUGGUCUGAGAGGAUGACCAGCCACACUGGAACUGAGACACGGUCCAGACUCCUACGGGAGGCAGCAGUGGGGAAUAUUGCACAAUGGGCGCAAGCCUGAUGCAGACAUGCCGCGUGUAUGAAGAAGGCCUUCGGGUUGUAAAGUACUUUCAGCGGGGAGGAAGGGAGUAAAGUUAAUAACUUUGCUCAUUGACGUUACCCGCAGAAGAAGCACCGGCUAACUCCGUG